rnacentral:rRNA from 1 species
UUGAACGCUGGCGGCAUGCUUUACACAUGCAAGUCGAACGGCAGCACGGGGGCAACCCUGGUGGCGAGUGGCGAACGGGUGAGUAAUAUAUCGGAACAUAUCCGGAAGUGGGGGAUAACGUAGCGAAAGUUACGCUAAUACCGCAUAUGCCCUGAGGGGGAAAGGGGGGGAUCGCAAGACCUCUCGCUUUCGGAGUGGCCGAUAUCGGAUUAGCUAGUUGGUGAGGUAAAGGCUCACCAAGGCGACGAUCCGUAGCUGGUCUGAGAGGACGACCAGCCACACUGGAACUGAGACACGGUCCAGACUCCUACGGGAGGCAGCAGUGGGGAAUUUUGGACAAUGGGCGCAAGCCUGAUCCAGCCAUGCCGCGCGAGUGAAGAAGGCCUUCGGGUUGUAAAGCUCUUUCAGCCGGAACGAAACGGUACGCUCUAACAUAGCGUGCUAAUGACGGUACCGGCAGAAGAAGCACCGGCUAACUACGU